rnacentral:rRNA from 1 species
GACGAGGGGUCCAAGCGUUGUUCGGAAUUAUUGGGCGUAAAGCGGGUGUAGGCGGCUCUAUAAGUCAGAAGUGAAAGGCCCCGGGCUUAACCCUGGGAAGUGCUUUUGAUACUGCAGAGCUUGAAUGUGGGAGGAGGUAGUGGAAUUCCUGGUGUAGUGGUGAAAUACGUAGAUAUCAGGAGGAACACCGGCGGCGAAGGCGGCUACCUGGCCCAACAUUGACGCUCAGACCCGGAAAGCAUGGGGAUCAAACAG